UUUAAAUUGAGAGAAAAGACAAAAUUCUCAAGAACUCUUUUAAAACAUACAGUCUUCAAUAAAGUUAUCUGGAUCUGUGAUUGACAAUUCUGUAUUGACUGAAAAGCAUUACUGUUACCUAAUUGAGUAGAAAAAUUAAUUUCUAAUUAUAUAUGUAACAAGCCGUGCCCCUUUUUUGUAGUCCAUGUGUAUAUAUAUAUAUAUAAAGCAACUUAAUUCUUGUGGUGUAGUCUUAAUAGUUUUGAAUGUUGACUGAAUGUCUAUGAAAUUGUGAGUUUGUCUUUGUUACAUUCCAGUGUUUCUGCCUCUUGGCAUGCUUAAAGCACGGCUUACUUCAUCUGCUCCUUACACACUAAAGUGCUGUUAGUGUGCUCAACUACAGAAAUAGCCGCUGCUAAGUGAUGUAGAUUUUCUACUUGAAUAUUUUUAUGUUGUAGGAACCUCAGGAGGUCAGUGUUUACUGUUUUAUAUGCCUUCUUUUUCCUGUUUGAGCUUCUCUCUUUGAAGGAUUCUAACAGAACAAAAGCUGCUGAUCAACCUAAGUUGGAAACAGAAAGUGUAUUUAAUAUAGUUUAAAUGCAUGUUUGCCAGUUCCAUGUUACAGUCCAUUAGUAAGUGAACUUAGUGCCACAGAUAUUCAUUUAUUCAGGAAAGAACUUUGCUUUUUGUAUUGUCUAAUCUCUUUAAUAACUUCAUACUGUGUAAAAAAAAAAAUCACACUUUUUUAUAUUUUUUGGUUGGUUAUUUUCCAAAUAAUCAACAUGUAAAUAAUCUUUAAGAGCCAGUUCUGAUGCUUUACAUUAUUGCUACUUGAUUUUGUGACGCAAGUUAGAUUUCAGAAGAAUAGAUUUUAAAACACUUAACCAAGCCAUUACAUCUUAAAAACAAAAUAAGUAGCAUACAUUUUGUAAUUAACAUAUUGAUAAACACUGUGAUUUUUUUUGUUAAGACUUUUUCAUUGAUCUGAAUUGCUUAAAUUGCAUAUAUUGUAAAAUAGGAUCAGAUGUAUAUUUUAAAAUAAUCUCAACUGACUUUCCUCUAUUGAAAUGCUUUGUCUACUCAGUUAUAAAAUAUUCAGAUACAAGUUUUAUCUCAGGUGAAUACUCUUGUAUCCUUCUUUCUUUGGUGACAUAUGCUUAUAAAGGGUCAUCAUACUUAACAUUCUUUGGUUUUGUUUUUUUAGUGUAUUUCAUGAAGAAUCUUUCCAUUUAGUCUGAUUUUGUAAUUCUUAGUCUAGCAGACCAUGGCGGUAUAAGUCCUUACUGGCGAGCCCUUUGGCAUGCAGGCUUACCUUGAAAGGGAAUUCAGUCUGGUUCUCCUUUUCUCCAAACUCUUUUUAAGAUAGUAGAGUGGAAAAUUUUCUGUCGUGUAUUAAAUUACCCUGCAUAUAGCUGAAAUGCCAGAACUAAACUAAUUAUGUCUUAAAUCUUUUAGUCUAAAUUUAACUUAAAUCCUUUGCCAUAAAGAAAAAAGUAGGUUUGUUUGCUCCAUAUAGUUCAUCUAUAUUAUUCAUAUUGAAUGUAUUAACAGAUAACGGUGCAAAAACAUUCUUCCCAAGAGAAGAGUGUAUCAUGCAUAACUGCAAUUUAAAUCCUUUCUUUAGUAGCCCUUUAAACUACACACAGCUUUGCUUAUUGAAUUAUUUUUGCAAAUAAUACAAGGGGGAAAACACUUAACUGUCACUACUAGUACUGUUACUGCAAUGUAGGCAUUGAAAUCUUGAUGCAAACUAUGGUCUUCAGGUUAAGGGCCUAAAAUAAUCUAGAAUAAAAGUCAGAUCAAUAAAGAACUGUUUAACAAUAUUAUCUAGUAAUACCAUGCAAAUGCAUUAUAUUAGUACUUAGUCAUACUGUAUUAGAGAUGUUUCUAAUGUCUCUUAAAAAUUGUUUUAUUUAAAAUUUUCUCACUUGUACACUUUGCAGGUGACUUGUGACUAAUUUUUUCAGUCUUACAUAGAUCUUCCCCCAUUAGUAUUAUAUAUGAGGGAUUCUUUAUCUUUAUGCCUAAUUAUUAUGCUUAUUAAUUUUAAGAUACACAUGUUUAUUGUGAUUUGUAUCCCAGAAUGUAUUGUUUUUAUUUUUUUUAGUGUGUGCAUGAUUUUGAGGGAAGUUAAAGUGGUGAUUGUUUUUUUCACCUCUUGUACAUUUUAAAAUCAAACCAAAUCUAUUUGCCAAGCAUUAUAUCACUAACUAAGAAGAUAGGAUUUUUCCCUUUUAUUACUAUUUUUGUUCAUCUACCGUAGAAUCCCCUUAAAGAUGGCUUGGUAUGUUUCACAAUUAGCUAUUUUGCAAGUCCAGUUAUCUUCUAAAAGCUUACUAUGAUAUGGUUAGCCUAUAAGGCAGUGUUGAUUUCCUUCCCAAUACCAGCCUCAUAAAGGGGUCC
rnacentral:lncRNA from 1 species